GUUGCGGAGGCGCGGUCAAGGCUGCAGGUCCUUGUUGUACAAUAAUGCACGAGGUGCCAGUUGUAGUGUAUGUACGAUGAUGCACGGGGGUGCCAAUUGUAGUGUAUGUACGAUAAUUUUAAGUCACUGAUGUAAUUAUAAUUGUGGGCUUGAGCUGGUUCAUGUGUGUGACCGGUGUGACUGUAACCAAUCGAGCACUUGAAACUGGACAAUUGUUUUAGUUUUCGGAUCACAUUUACCUGGUUCUGUGCUCUCCGUUGUGGAUUAUAUUAGAAGGAAAACUUUGGCUGUUGUUUUGAUGAUGAGCACUGGGCAGU
rnacentral:lncRNA from 1 species